rnacentral:rRNA from 1 species
AGAGUUUGAUUAUGGCUCAGAACGAACGUUGGCGGCAUGGAUUAGGCAUGCAAGUCGAAUGAAUCCGUAGCAAUACGGGGAAAUGGCGAAAGGGGCAGUAAUGUGUGGGUAACCUACCUUGGGGAUGGGCAUAGCCGGUCUAACGGCCGGGUAAUUCCCAGCGAUUCGGCGAAGUGGCAUCACUUUGCCGGGAAAUGAAUUUCGCCUCGAGAGGGGCCCACAUGAUAUUAGAUAGUUGGCGGUGUAACGGACCACCAAGUCUAAGAUGUCUAGCGGGUGUGAGAGCACGACCCGCGCCACUGGCACUGUGACACUGGCCAGACACCUACGGGUGGCUGCAGUCGAGGAUCUUCGUCAAUGGGCGAAAGCCUGAACGAGCGAUGCCGCGUGCGCGAUGAAGGCCUUCGGGUUGUAAAGCGCGAAAGAGGGAAUAAAGGGAAACUUGAUUGAACCUCAGUAAGCUCGGGCUAAGUUCGUGCCAGCAGCCGCGGUAAGACGAACCGAGCGAACGUUGUUCGGAAUCACUGGGCAUAAAGGGCGCGUAGGCGGGUUUCUAAGUCCGUGGUGAAAUACUUCAGCUCAACUGGAGAACUGCCUCGGAUACUGGGAAUCUCGAGUAAUGUAGGGGCACGUGGAACGGCUGGUGGAGCGGUGAAAUGCGUUGAUAUCAGUCGGAACUCCGGUGGCGAAGGCGAUGUGCUGGACAUUUACUGACGCUGAGGCGCGAAAGCCAGGGGAGCAAACGGGAUUAGAUACCCCGGUAGUCCUGGCCCUAAACGAUGAGAACUAGAUAAUAGACUUUCAUGGGUUUACUGUCGAAGCAAAUGUGCUAAGUUCUCCGCCUGGGGAGUAUGGUCGCAAGACUGAAACUC